rnacentral:lncRNA from 1 species
UAGCCACAAUAAUCUCAAUGGAGCGAUGUUGACCGAGACCAGCUGGGGCUCUGGCCCUUGGGCACACAGCACUUCCUCAACCUAUGUUUUAUUUAAAGGGGCUCCGUGCACUGAGAAUACCCGGGGAAGCUUGGGCUGGCUACACACAAACUUGGGCUCCUUCAGCACUUUGGCCAGUUAUGGAGAACUGAUUGGCCUCAACGCAGACUUCAGUGCUGUCGAUGCAGUAGCGGGUCUCAGCCCAGUGCAACUAGCGUCUUACGUGCUGGCAAGUGACGUUCUGCGGGACAGCGACAAAGCGGGCAAGGUCUUCGGCUCUCUGAACUCCCACACCGUUGGGGAGUUUCUGGAUGCAUUCAAUGCCGCUGCCCAGCAGCAGCAUCUCUCUCAGCUGCCUCAUGCCGAUGUGAGAAGAUUCAUCCUGGGCGAGAUCUUUUGCCAUUUAAGCACUGUGUUUAAGCUCUUCACCACUGAGGACUAUGCCGUCUGGUUCGGGGAAAGACUCACUCUCUUCCUGAGCAGCCUCGAAGCACAGAAUCUUGGCUUUUUACCUAACGACAUGUCGUGCGACUCCCUCGCAGCCAUAGUGAAGAUCCUGAGUGACCAUAAAGCGAAUGGGACAUAUGAGAACCCACAGGACAUCUUCUCAUUUAUAAAGAGAGUUCUUCACUUCCAGCUGCAAAACUCAGGCUCGGCCUGUGCUCAGGGAAUCACCACAGACAGGCAAUGGCUGCUACAGUAUUUUGGGCUCUUCACUGUUUAUGGCUCGUACUCCGACUUCAUCACGUUAAACAGCAGACUCCAUGGGCAUGACUCCCUAGACCUUUUCUCAGCAAGUACACUGGCCCAACUGUCUGCUCAAAGCAACACCAUCUAUAGCACUGCGGCCAUCCAGUUGGUCUUCCAGGCAAUCAGAAGCAAGGAGGAGCCACUCCAGCACCUCAGCACUUACCUGGAUGAUCUCAACACCCUACUGCUGAAGAGCUCCGGUUUGCUAGGGAAUUCCAAGGUGCGAGACACCAUGCUAAUGAUGUCAGCAGAAAUGGUCUUCCCACAAAUCACGGCCUUGUCCCUGGAAGGCACAACCACGUGGCUCCACAGACUGAACUUGCUGCUCGCUGGUGUAAAUGCAACAACAUUGGAACUGCUGCCUCUGACUAUGCCAUGCCCAUUUUACCAAGCCAUGUGAGUACUCGCCUCUAGGGCUGCGUUCUGUUUUGAGUUUUGUUUGCAUUGCUA